rnacentral:tRNA from 1 species
GAGGGUAUAGCUCAGUGGUAGAGCACAUGCUUAGCAUGCACAAGGUCCUGGGUUCAAUCCCCAUUACCUCCA